rnacentral:miRNA from 14 species
GGUGGUUUUUCGCCGUAGUGAUA